rnacentral:rRNA from 1 species
AGUCGAGGGGCAUCAGUUUGGUUUGCUUGCAAACCAAAGCUGGCGACCGGCGCACGGGUGAGUAACACGUAUCCAACCUGCCUCAUACUCGGGGAUAGCCUUUCGAAAGAAAGAUUAAUAUCCGAUAGCAUAUAUUUCCCGCAUGGGUUUUAUAUUAAAGAAAUUCGGUAUGAGAUGGGGAUGCGUUCCAUUAGUUUGUUGGGGGGGUAACGGCCCACCAAGACUACGAUGGAUAGGGGUCCUGAGAGGAAGGUCCCCCACAUUGGAACUGAGACACGGUCCAAACUCCUACGGGAGGCAGCAGUGAGGAAUAUUGGUCAAUGGACGCGAGUCUGAACCAGCCAAGUAGCGUGAAGGAUGACUGCCCUAUGGGUUGUAAACUUCUUUUAUAUGGGAAUAAAGUUGUCCACGUGUGGAUUUUUGUAUGUACCAUAUGAAUAAGGAUCGGCUAACUCCGUGCCAGCAGCCGCGGUAAUACGGAGGAUCCGAGCGUUAUCCGGAUUUAUUGGGUUUAAAGGGAGCGUAGGCGGAUUGUUAAGUCAGCUGUGAAAGUUUGCGGCUCAACCGUAAAAUUGCAGUUGAUACUGGCAGUCUUGAGUGCAGUAGAGGUGGGCGGAAUUCGUGGUGUAGCGGUGAAAUGCUUAGAUAUCACGAA